rnacentral:rRNA from 1 species
UACGUAGGGUGCAAGCGUUGUCCGGAAUUAUUGGGCGUAAAGCGCGCGCAGGCGGUCCUUUAAGUCUGAUGUGAAAGCCCACGGCUCAACCGUGGAAGGUCAUUGGAAACUGGGGGACUUGAGUGCAGAAGAGGAAAGUGGAAUUCCAAGUGUAGCGGUGAAAUGCGUAGAGAUUUGGAGGAACACCAGUGGCGAAGGCGACUUUCUGGUCUGUAACUGACGCUGAGGCGCGAAAGCG